GCGGGGGUACCCGAGCGGCCAAAGGGGCAGGCCUUAGGAGCCUGUGCGUAGAGCUUCGCCGGUUCAAAUCCGGUCCCCCGCA
rnacentral:tRNA from 1 species